UACGUAGGGCGCAAGCGUUAUCCGGAAUUAUUGGGCGUAAAGAGCUCGUAGGCGGUUUGUCGCGUCUGCCGUGAAAGUCCAAGGCUCAACCUUGGAAUGCCGGUGGAUACUGUCGAGCUCGAGUCCGGAAGAGGCGAGUGGAAUUCCUGGUGUAGCGGUGAAAUGCGCAGAUAUCAGGAGGAACACCGAUGGCGAAGGCAGGUCUCUGGGCCACUACUGACGCUGAGAAGCGAAAGCAUGGGGAGCGAACAGG
rnacentral:rRNA from 1 species